GAGACAGCCGCCCAUCUCCUCUUUUAGUGUACAUUCACCGCCUGAGUUUGGAAUGAAGUUGUCAGCUGGCUCGGCAUGCACGGCCACUCGUCGAUGGCUUGGCACCAUGAAAGCUCUGUCCGCGAUUGGUGGCUCCGUUCGGUGGAGGCUGGAGGCCACAUCAAAAAGGCCACCACCUCGGUGAUGAUGCUUGUUUCUUGGGAAAUAUGGAAGGAGCGAAACACAAGAAUCUUUAGCAACACAGCCGCCUUGACCACCAUUGUCGUUGCAAGGAUCAAAGAGGAGGCCUAGCUUUGGGCAUUGGCGGGAGCGAAUCAUCUGAGUAGUCUCAUGUCGCGAGAGUAG
rnacentral:rRNA from 1 species